AGUUCCAAUAGCGUAUAUUAAAGUUGUUGCGGUUGAAAAGCUCAUAGUUGGAUUUCUGUUGAGGACGGCCGGUCCGCCCUCUGGGUGAGUAUCUGGUUCGGCUUGGGCAUAUGCUUGGAGAACGUAGUUGCGCUUAAGUGCGUGGUGGGGUAUCCAGGACUUUUACUUGGAGGAAAUUAGUGUGUUUCAAGCAGGCACACGCCUUGAAUACAUUAGCAUGGAAUAAUAAGAUAGGACCUCUGUUCUAUUUUGUUGGUUUCCGGAAUUGAGGUAAUGAUUAAUAGGGAUAGUUGGGGGCAUUCGUAUUUAACUCUCAGAGGUGAAAUUCUUGGAUUUGUUAAAGACGGACUGCUGCGAAAGCAUUUGCCAAGGAUGUUUUCA
rnacentral:rRNA from 1 species